rnacentral:rRNA from 1 species
AGUGAACGCUGGCGGCAGGCCUAAUACAUGCAAGUCGAACGGCAGCACAGCAGAGCUUGCUCUGUGGGUGGCGAGUGGCGGACGGGUGAGGAAUACAUGGGAAUCUGCCCAGUCGUGGGGGAUAACGUAGGGAAACUUACGCUAAUACCGCAUGCGCCCUUCGGGGGAACGCCGGGGACCUUCGGGCCUGGCGCGAUUGGAUGAGCCCAUGUCGGAUUAGCUAGUUGGCGGGGUAAGGGCCCACCAAGGCGACGAUCCGUAGCUGGUCUGAGAGGAUGAUCAGCCACACUGGAACUGAGACACGGUCCAGACUCCUACGGGAGGCAGCAGUAGGGAAUAUUGGACAAUGGGCGCAAGCCUGAUCCAGCCAUGCCGCGUGAGUGAAGAAGGCCUUCGGGUUGUAAAGCUCUUUUGUCCGGAAAGAAAAGCAUCCAGUUAAUACCUGGGUGUCCUGACGGUACCGGAAGAAUAAGCACCGGCUAAUUUCGUGCCAGCAGCCGCGGUAACAC